UACGUAGGGGGCGAGCGUUAUCCGGAAUUAUUGGGCGUAAAGAGUGCGUAGGUGGUUACCUAAGCGCAGGGUUUAAGGCUACGGCUUAACUGUAGUUCGCCCUGCGAACUGGGCAACUUGAGUGCAGGAGAGGAAAGCGGAAUUCCUAGUGUAGCGGUGAAAUGCUUAGAUAUUAGGAGGAACACCAGUGGCGAAGGCGGCUUUCUGGACUGAAACUGACACUGAGGCACGAAAGCGUGGGGAGCAAACA
rnacentral:rRNA from 1 species